rnacentral:rRNA from 1 species
AUUGAACGCUGGCGGCAGGCUUAACACCUGCAAGUCGAACGAGUAGCGGAAGGGUGAGUAGUGCUUGGGAAUCUGGCUUAUGGAGAGGGCUAAGUAGGGGAAACUGUAGCUAAUACCGCGUAACGUAGGAUGGGCCCAAGUGGGAUUAGGUAGUGGGUGAGGUAAAGGCUCACCAAGCCGAACAUUUCUAGCUGGUCUGCGAGGAUGACCAGCCACACUGGGACUGAGAAACGGCCCAGACUCCGACGGGAGGCAGCAGUGGGGAAUAUUGCGCAAUGGGGGGAACCUGACGCAGCCAUGCCGCGUGAAUUAAGAAGGCCUUCGGGUUGUAAAGUUCUUUCGGUAGCGAGGCGUUAACUACAGAAGAAGCACCGGCUAACUCCGUGCCAGCAGCCGCGGUAAUAC